GGGAAUUUUGCGCAAUGGGGGAAACCCUGACGCAGCAACACCGCGUGAAUGUUAAGCCCUUCGGGGUGUAAAGUUCUGUCAAUAGGGACGAAUUUUGACUGUAUCUAUAAAGGAAGCACCGGCUAACUCCGUGCCAGCAGCCGCGGUAAUACGGGGGGUGCAAGCGUUGUCCGGAAUCAAUGGGCGUAAAGCGUUCGUAGGCGGUAUGUCAAGUCUGAUGUUAAAGCCCGGGGCUCAACUCCGGUUCGGCAUUGGAUACUGGCAAACUAGAAUGUGGUAGAGGUAAAGGGAAUUCCUGGUGUAGCGGUGAAAUGCGUAGAUAUCAGGAGGAACAUCGGUGGCGAAAGCGCUUUACUGGACCAUUAUUGACGCUGAGGAACGAAAGCCAGGGGAGCAAAUG
rnacentral:rRNA from 1 species